GAUGAACGCUGGCGGUAUGCUUAACACAUGCAAGUCGAACGGACUCUUCGGAGUUAGUGGCGGACGGGUGUGUAACGCGUGAGAAUCUGGCUUUGGGUUCGGGACAACCACUGGAAACGGUGGCUAAUACCGGAUGUGCCGAGAGGUAAAAGAGAAAUUGCCUGAAGAUGAGCUCGCGUCUGAUUAGCUAGUUGGUGAGGUAAAGGCUCACCAAGGCAGCGAUCAGUAGCUGGUCUGAGAGGAUGACCGGCCACACUGGGACUGAGACACGGCCCAGACUCCUACGGGAGGCAGCAGUGGGGAAUUUUCCGCAAUGGGCGAAAGACUGACGGAGCAAUACCGCGUGAGGGAAGAAGGCUCUUGGGUUGUAAACAUCUUUUCUUAGGGAAGAACAAAAUGACGGUACCUAAGGAAUAAGCAUCGGCUAACUCCGUG
rnacentral:rRNA from 1 species